AGAGUUUGAUCAUGGCUCAGAUUGAACGCUGGCGGCAGGCCUAACACAUGCAAGUCGAGCGGUAGCACAGAGAGCUUGCUCUCGGGUGACGAGCGGCGGACGGGUGAGUAAUGUCUGGGAAACUGCCUGAUGGAGGGGGAUAACUACUGGAAACGGUAGCUAAUACCGCAUAACGUCGCAAGACCAAAGUGGGGGACCUUCGGGCCUCAUGCCAUCAGAUGUGCCCAGAUGGGAUUAGCUGGUAGGUGGGGUAACGGCUCACCUAGGCGACGAUCCCUAGCUGGUCUGAGAGGAUGACCAGCCACACUGGAACUGAGACACGGUCCAGACUCCUACGGGAGGCAGCAGUGGGGAAUAUUGCACAAUGGGCGCAAGCCUGAUGCAGCCAUGCCGCGUGUGUGAAGAAGGCCUUCGGGUUGUAAAGCACUUUCAGCGGGGAGGAAGGCGAUAAGGUUAAUAACCUUGUCGAUUGACGUUACCCGCAGAAGAAGCACCGGCUAACUCCGUGCCAGCAGCCGCGGUAAUACGGAGGGUGCAAGCGUUAAUCGGAAUUACUGGGCGUAAAGCGCACGCAGGCGGUCUGUCAAGUCGGAUGUGAAAUCCCCGGCUCAACCUGGGAACUGCAUUCGAAACUGGCAGGCUAGAGUCUUGUAGAGGGGGGUAGAAUUCCAGGUGUAGCGGUGAAAUGCGUAGAGAUCUGGAGGAAUACCGGUGGCGAAGGCGGCCCCCUGGACAAAGACUGACGCUCAGGUGCGAAAGCGUGGGGAGCAAACAGGAUUAGAUACCCUGGUAGUCCACGCUGUAAACGAUGUCGAUUUGGAGGUUGUGCCCUUGAGGCGUGGCUUCCGGAGCUAACGCGUUAAAUCGACCGCCUGGGGAGUACGGCCGCAAGGUUAAAACUCAAAUGAAUUGACGGGGGCCCGCACAAGCGGUGGAGCAUGUGGUUUAAUUCGAUGCAACGCGAAGAACCUUACCUGGUCUUGACAUCCACAGAACUUUCCAGAGAUGGAUUGGUGCCUUCGGGAACUGUGAGACAGGUGCUGCAUGGCUGUCGUCAGCUCGUGUUGUGAAAUGUUGGGUUAAGUCCCGCAACGAGCGCAACCCUUAUCCUUUGUUGCCAGCGGUUAGGCCGGGAACUCAAAGGAGACUGCCAGUGAUAAACUGGAGGAAGGUGGGGAUGACGUCAAGUCAUCAUGGCCCUUACGACCAGGGCUACACACGUGCUACAAUGGCAUAUACAAAGAGAAGCGACCUCGCGAGAGCAAGCGGACCUCAUAAAGUAUGUCGUAGUCCGGAUUGGAGUCUGCAACUCGACUCCAUGAAGUCGGAAUCGCUAGUAAUCGUAGAUCAGAAUGCUACGGUGAAUACGUUCCCGGGCCUUGUACACACCGCCCGUCACACCAUGGGAGUGGGUUGCAAAAGAAGUAGGUAGCUUAACCUUCGGGAGGGCGCUUACCACUUUGUGAUUCAUGACUGGGGUGAAGUCGUAACAAGGUAACCGUAGGGGAACCUGCGGUUGGAUCACCU
rnacentral:rRNA from 1 species